AUUGAACGCUGGCGGCGUGCUUUACACAUGCAAGUCGAACGGUAACAGGCCUUCGGGUGCUGACGAGUGGCGAACGGGUGAGUAAUGCAUCGGAACGUACCCAGAGGUGGGGGAUAACGCAGCGAAAGCUGUGCUAAUACCGCAUGUGAUCUGAGGAUGAAAGCGGGGGACCGAGCAGCAAUGUUUGGCCUCGCGCCUUUGGAGCGGCCGAUGUCGGAUUAGCUAGUUGGUGGGGUAAAGGCCUACCGAGGCGACGAUCCGUAGCUGGUCUGAGAGGACGACCAGCCACACUGGGACUGAGACACGGCCCAGACUCCUACGGGAGGCAGCAGUGGGGAAUUUUGGACAAAGGGCGCAAGCCUGAUCCAGCAAUGCCGCGUGCGGGAAGAAGGCCUUCGGGUUGUAAACCGCUUUUGGCAGGAACGAAACGGUGUCCGCUAAUACCGGGCGCUAAUGACGGUACCUGCAGAAUAAGCACCGGCUAACUACGUG
rnacentral:rRNA from 1 species